GAGUAGCUGGGAUUACAGGCGCCACCUAAUUAGCCCGCCACCACGCCCGGCUAAUUUUUGUAUUUUUAGUAGAGACGGGGUUUCACUAUCUUGGCCAGGCUGGUCUUGAACUCCUGACCUCGUGAUCCACCCGCCUCGGCCUCCCAGAGUGCUGGGAUUACAGGCGUGAGCCACCGCACCUGGCCUAAAACUGAUUUUUUAUUAAUUUUGGGGCUUUUAAUAUUUUUUUCUUAUUUCUAAAUUCUGAGGUUAUUUAUAGUAGCCCCAUAUACGGGAUUAGAUAAUCUCUUGUGAUUUUCUAUUUCUGGUAAUUAUUUCUAAUAUAUGUUUUUUUGUUUUUGAGACGGAGUCUCGCUAUGUCGCUCAGGCUGGAGUGCAGUGGCAUGAUCUCCGCUCUUUGUAGCCUCUGCCUCCCGGGUUCAAAUGGUCCUCCCACCUCAGCCCCCCGAGUAGCUUGGACCACAGAGUACGAGUACAUCUGGUUGAAAAAGAAAAGGCAGAGAGAAAAGCAGACUUUUUGGAGUUGUUGUUCUCAGGCACUAACAGAUUCAUCCCUUAUAUGCAUAUGAAUGGACAAUAAGAUUUCUUGGAUAUUUUCAUGGCAAAGGGUAAGAGCGAAGCUAUCCUGGACAAGAACUUUGACAGGACAAUACUAUUCACUCUGAAGGACCAAAAAAUGAGCAGAAAAUUUGGGAUAAAUGUCAACAAGAUUUGAACCCUAAAGAAAAGCAAGCAUCGAGUUAGACAGACGUCCAUAUUCAUUCAACUGGGAAAAUAAAACUGUGCAGUCCCAACAUCAGAAUUUCCUUGGUCAGUUGGUUAUUGCGGGACAGCAUUCUUCUGCAUGACAGUAUUGUCUCCUUACCAGCCACAGAGGAGGCUGUGAGAGAGAGGAUUUGGGAAAUUGGUGCAAAUGAGAAAUCUUGGAAAUCUAGAAUUAAGCCUUUCAGCAGGAAAUCCAGAUGCUCACUAAGUGACUAGAGCAGCUGCAUCAUCUUUAAGAAGAAGGUGCUCAAGAAUCAUCCCAAGCUGAAGAAAAAAGUAUUGGGAACAAAAAAGACCCUUGAAAUGUCUAGAAAGAAAAAUUGAGAUCAAGGACUUUUUCAAGAGAGAUUAGACUUGGACAGGAAGAAAAAUUUGCAGAUUGCUACUACGCAAAGAUUGGAGGAGAAAAUUCAGAAACUUCAGAAACAGCUCAGUGAUUUGAAAUUGUCAAAUAAAAAUAUGAAAACUCAGCUGACAAGAGUAAAUGUCCUUAAAGACAAAACAAUUGAAGAGCUCAGGCAAUCUUUAGCAAAUGUUGAAACGAUGAAAGAGAAGGCAAAUGUUGAAACGAUGAAAGAGAAGGCAGUUGUGAAAACAGAAAA
rnacentral:sRNA from 1 species